rnacentral:rRNA from 1 species
UAGGGAAUCUUCCGCAAUGGACGAAAGUCUGACGGAGCAACGCCGCGUGAGUGAAGAAGGAUUUCGGUUCGUAAAACUCUGUUGUUAGGGAAGAAAAAAUGUAUAGUAACUAUAUACAAAAGAGACGGUACCUAACCAGAAAGCCCCGGCUAAUUACGUGCCAGCAGCCGCGGUAAUACGUAAGGGGCGAGCGUUGUCCGGAAUUAUUGGGCGUAAAGAGUGCGUAGGCGGCAAAUUAAGUCAGAUGUGAAAACUAAGGGCUCAACCCAUAGAUUGCAUCUGAAAAUGAUAUGCUUGAGUCAAGGAGAGGAAAGUGGAAUUCCUAGUGUAGCGGUGGAAUGCGUAGAUAUUAGGAGGAAUACCGGUGGCGAAGGCGACUUUCUGGACUUGAACUGACGCUGAGGCACGAAAGCGUGGGGAGCAAACAGG